CCUCCUUUCCUAGCAUACAUGAGUUGAGCAGUAGUCGUGUGUUAAAUCUGGAGGAAGAAUAUUUUUAGUGUUGUGUCUUCAGUGCCAGUAAGCUUAAAUCUUCUUGUCCUAUCCUCAAUCUCUGAGACAACA